UCUAAGCACGUGCCUCGAUACGGUGAAGCCGCGAAUAGCUCAUUACAACAGCCACCGUUUAUUAGAAUAUCGUUGUCCUACUUGGAUAACUGUGGCAAUUCUAGAGCUAAUACAUGCGAGAAGGCUCGGACCGCGAGGAACGAGCGCAUUUAUUAGAAUAAAAACCAAUCGGGCCUCGCGCCCGUCUCUUGGUGAAUCUGAAUAACUUUGCCGAUCGCACGGUCCUAGCACCGGCGACGUAUCUUUCAAGUGUCUGCCUUAUCAACUUUCGAUGGUAGGUUACACGCCUACCAUGGUGUUAACGGGUAACGGAGAAUUAGGGUUCGACUCCGGAGAGGGAGCCUGAGAAACGGCUACCACAUCCAAGGAAGGCAGCAGGCGCGCAAAUUACCCACUCCCGGUACGGGGAGGUAGUGACGAAAAAUAACGAGACAGUCCUCUUCGAGGUCUGUCAUCGGAAUGGGUACAAUUUAAA
rnacentral:rRNA from 1 species